rnacentral:rRNA from 1 species
CGCCUUGCCAGCCCGCUACAGAACUUAAGGAAGUUGACGGGGCCGCACAAGCGGUGGAGCAUGUGGUUAAUUCGAUGAUACGCGAGGAACCUUACCUGGGCUCGAACGUAAGAUGACUGUAGGUGAAAGCUUACAUCUCUUCGGAGCAUUUUACGAGGUGCUGCAUGGUUGUCGUCAGCUCGUGCCGUGAGGUGUCGGGUUAAGUCCCAUAACGAGCGCAACCCCUACCUUUAGUUGCCAUCAGGUUAAGCUGGGGACUCUAAAGGAACUGCCUACGCAAGUAGUGAGGAAGGCGGGGAUGACGUCAAAUCAGCACGGCCCUUACGUCCAGGGCUACACACGUGCUACAAUGGCCGAUACAGAGGGCAGCUACCUGGUGACAGGAUGCAAAUCUCCAAAGUCGGUCUCAGUUCGGAUCGGAGUCUGCAACCCGACUCCGUGAAGUUGGAUUCGCUAGUAAUCGCGCAUCAGCCAUGGCGCGGUGAAUACGUUCCCGGGCCUU